rnacentral:rRNA from 1 species
UACGUAGGGGGCAAGCGUUGUCCGGAUUUAUUGGGCGUAAAGAGCGUGUAGGCGGCCUGGAAGGUCAGCUGUGAAAACUCGAGGCUCAACCUCGAGACGUCGGUUGAAACCACCUGGCUAGAGUCCGGAAGAGGAGUGUGGAAUUCCCGGUGUAGCGGUGGAAUGCGCAGGAUAAUCGGGAGGAACACCCGAUGGCGAAGGCAGAUCUCUGGGCCGUAACUGACGCUGAGGAGCGAAAGCGUGGGGAGCGAACAGG